GACAGAGGUGCCGAGCGUUAGGCGGAAUCACUGGGCUUAAAGCGUGUGUAGGCGGGCCGUUAAGUGCCUUGUGAAAUCCCCCGGCUCAACCGGGGAACGGCUGGGCAUACUGGCGGCCUUGAGUCACUCAGGGGUCAGCGGAACAAACGGUGGAGCGGUGAAAUGCGUAGAUAUCGUUGGAACGCCGACGGCGAAGCAAGCUG
rnacentral:rRNA from 1 species